GAUGAACGCUGGCGGCGUGCCUAAUACAUGCAAGUCGAGCGAACGGACGAUAAGCUUGCUUCUCUGAUGUUAGCGGCGGACGGGUGAGUAACACGUGGAUAACCUACCUAUAAGACUGGGAUAACUUCGGGAAACCGGAUCUACUACCGGAUAAUAUUUUGAACCGCAUGGUUCAAAAGUGAAAGACGGUCUUGCUGUCACUUAUAGAUGGAUCCGCGCUGCAUUAGCUAGUUGGUAAGGUAACGGCUUACCAAGGCAACGAUGCAUAGCCGACCUGAGAGGGUGAUCAGCCACACUGGAACUGAGACACGGUCCAGACUCCUACGGGAGGCAGCAGUAGGGAAUAUUCCGCAAUGGGCGAAAGCCUGACGGAGCAACGCCGCGUGAGUGAUGAAGGUCUUCGGAUCGUAAAACUCUGUUAUUAGGGAAGAACAUAUGUGUAAGUAACUGUGCACAUCUUGACGGUACCUAAUCAGAAAGCCACGGCUAACUACGUG
rnacentral:rRNA from 1 species